AAAUUGAAGAGUUUGAUCAUGGCUCAGAUUGAACGCUGGCGGCAGGCCUAACACAUGCAAGUCGAACGGUAACAGGAAGCAGCUUGCUGCUUCGCUGACGAGUGGCGGACGGGUGAGUAAUGUCUGGGAAACUGCCUGAUGGAGGGGGAUAACUACUGGAAACGGUGGCUAAUACCGCAUAACGUCGCAAGACCAAAGAGGGGGACCUUCGGGCCUCUUGCCAUCAGAUGUGCCCAGAUGGGAUUAGCUUGU
rnacentral:rRNA from 3 species